GACAGAGGUGCCGAGCGUUAGGCGGAAUCACUGGGCUUAAAGCGUGUGUAGGCGGACCCGUCAGUGUCUUGUGAAAUCCCACGGCUCACCCGUGGAACUGCUGGGCAUACUGGCGAUCUUGGGCCAACUAGGGCAACUGGAACAAGCGGUGGAGCGGUGAAAUGCGUAGAUAUCGCUUGGAACGCCAAAGGUGAAAACAGGUUGCUGGGGUUGUGCCGACGCUGGAGAACACGAAAGCCAGGGAGCAAA
rnacentral:rRNA from 1 species